CCUACGGGAGGCAGCAGUGAGGAAUAUUGGUCAAUGGUCGGGAGACUGAACCAGCCAAGCCGCGUGAGGGAGGAAGGUCCAGAGUAUCGUAAACCUCUUUUGUCAGGGAACAAAGGCGGGGACGUGUCCCCGGAUGAGUGUACCUGAAGAAAAAGCAUCGGCUAACUCCGUGCCAGCAGCCGCGGUAAUACGGAGGAUGCGAGCGUUAUCCGGAUUUAUUGGGUUUAAGGGGUGCGCAGGCGGUCUGUUAAGUCAGCGGUCAAAGCCCGGGGCUCAACCCCGGCCCGCCGUUGAAACUGGCAGGCUCGAGUGGGAGAGAAGUAUGCGGAAUGCGCGGUGUAGCGGUGAAAUGCAUAGAUAUCGCGCAGAACUCCGAUUGCGAAGGCAGCAUGCCGGCUCCACACUGACGCUGAGGCACGAAAGCGUGGGUAUCGAACAGGAUUAGAUACCCCUGUAGUC
rnacentral:rRNA from 1 species